rnacentral:rRNA from 1 species
AACGUAGGAGGCGAGCGUUAUCCGGAUUUACUGGGCGUAAAGGGCAAGUAGGCGGUAGGCAAAGUUGGGCGUGACAAUUCUCGGCUUAACUGAGAGGGGUCGUUCAAAACUAGUCUACUAGAGGGCAGGAGAGGAAAGCGGAAUUCCUAGUGUAGCGGUGGAAUGCUCAGAUAUUAGGAAGAACACCAGUGGCGAAGGCGGCUUUCUGGCCUGCACCUGACGCUGAGAGGCGAAAGCUAGGGGAGCAAACGGG